CAUGCAGUCGAACGGUAACAGGAAGCAGCUUGCUGCUUCGCUGACGAGUGGCGGACGGGUGAGUAAUGUCUGGGAAACUGCCUGAUGGAGGGGGAUAACUACUGGAAACGGUAGCUAAUACCGCAUAACGUCGCAAGACCAAAGAGGGGGACCUUCGGGCCUCUUGCCAUCGGAUGUGCCCAGAUGGGAUUAGCUAGUAGGUGGGGUAACGGCUCACCUAGGCGACGAUCCCUAGCUGGUCUGAGAGGAUGACCAGCCACACUGGAACUGAGACACGGUCCAGACUCCUACGGGAGGCAGCAGUGGGGAAUAUUGCACAAUGGGCGCAAGCCUGAUGCAGCCAUGCCGCGUGUAUGAAGAAGGCCUUCGGGUUGUAAAGUACUUUCAGCGGGGAGGAAGGCGAUAAGGUUAAUAACCUUGUCGAUUGACGUUACCCGCAGAAGAAGCACCGGCUAACUCCGUGCCAGCAGCCGCGGU
rnacentral:rRNA from 1 species